rnacentral:rRNA from 1 species
UACGGAGGGAGCUAGCGUUGUUCGGAAUUACUGGGCGUAAAGCGCGCGUAGGCGGCUUUGCAAGUCGGAUGUGAAAUCCCCGGGCUUAACCUGGGAACUGCAUUCGGGACUGCAUUGCUAGAGUAUGGGAGAGGGAAGUGGAAUUUCAGGUGUAGCGGUGAAAUGCGUAGAUAUCUGAAGGAACAUCAGUGGCGAAAGCGACUUCCUGGACCAAUACUGACGCUCAUGUGCGAAAGCGUGGGGAGCAAACAGG